AAAUUAACAUUUUAUGAAAAAAUGUGUUUGGUUAAGUGGUUUGAGGAAUUGUUUUGGUCUCCAACUCUCCAUGGGUUCAAAUUAUGGGUAUUAAACAUGAAUUUUUUAAAAGAAAAGAAGAAAAUGCAUAAAAUAGGGAAAGAGGGAGUUGAACACACGACCUCUUCUCAUAAAACCAUACUACAGACCACUAGGCCAAACUCUGAGUUUAAUACAUUUAUACCGCAACUAAUAUAUAUAUAGAGUAAAUAGGUAUAAUUUUAUAAAGCUCCCAAGGGUAUUUAAGUACUUUCACAUUUUUUGGUGGUGGGCCAUGGCCCUCCCCAGCCCCCUAGGCCCGCUGCGGUACACAAUAACCUUUACGACACCUCAUUCUUCUAGGAGAUUUGUUAAACGAGGAGCGGGUGGAAGUUAGACAAUCACGAUCAGUAACACAUGGAGUGGAAACUGUAAUGUUAAAAGAGAAGAAAAAAAAAUGUUACAAAAUGGAAUAAAAUAUAAUGUAAGAAAUAAAGAUGGAAAUUUGAAAAGGAGAUAAACUGGUUUACCAUAAAUCUGACUUUGUGUUGAAACAAGUAAUAGGGAAAGAAUGAUUAUCAUAACAUUAACAAACGUGAAAAUUUUAUUCAUAUUUUCUCUACCUUUUGUAUGUGUAUUACAUAGAAUUGUAGUUUAUCACGUCUUGAUUUAUAAAGUCAUUGUUCUCCUUACAACAAUUAAAUAGUUUUUAUAUAGUACUUCAAGAGUUGUGAAAAGACUUCCAUUUUUUGUUUACAAUUAUUCGAUGUCUCUUAAUUAAGUACAACAAUGUAUUGCCCCUUUAACACCUUUUGUAAAGANN
rnacentral:lncRNA from 1 species